AAUUCAAAACUGUGCUUUUCUAUUGCACAGUGCAUAUUUAGCUUCUGGUUACUGAAGUUCUGGCUUCCCGUACCCUGGGUCCAGAAUUAGUUCUGCCACAAAGAUUUUUUAAUAUUAUUUUUUAAUUCUGAAUAAUGGACCUUUAAUGACUCAAAUUCCAAUAAAUGUCUGCAGUGAAUGAAAGAAGACAAACCCACAAGUUCAAAAACAUGUGGGAAUAGAUUUUUUGACAUUUCUACCCCCUUAUCUCUCUCCUGGGAAAUGUAUCUACAGAUAUAUUGGGAGGACUAUUUUAUAUUAGCAGACAAGCUAAUGAUCCAGGAAGAGGAAAGACAUUUUCAGGGCAGCUCGAAUAUAAAUGAUAAACUAUGCUAUCUUCUACUCUGGCAGUAUGGCCAUUUUCCUGUCAGAGAAGCCCAGCAAAAGGAGGAAAACAAAUGCAAAAUUUCCUAUUGAAUGAUUCAAUUCACCUGGAAUAGCAUUUGAAAUAAUGAAAGCUGUCUCCCAUUAGCAAAGUCCUGUGCCCACUAUUUAAACUAAACUGUGUGCUGUGGAAUUGCAGUCCUGUCUUCAAAAAAAAUUGGUUUUCCUGCCUGGAGGACACUGCAUGACAAAAUACACCCUGCUCAAAAUAACACAAGGAUUUAUAACACUCAUGUCAAUACAAGAAAGGAAUAAUUUACAGGUUAUUAAUCAGAAAAUUUUGCAACAGUUUCAGUGCCAACUGUUAAUGCAUUAUGCAGUAACAUCUCUAGAUAGUGAUAAAUUUUGAAUUAUUUUUAAUUGGUUUUGAAAGUUAAAUUGAAUCCCAGGAUUGCUGUUUGACUUCUAAAAUCAUAGAAUUUGUCAUAAUCUUGUAAAGAUCCAUGUCCUGAAUCAGGUCUUACUGAAUACUGUUUCCUCCCAAAUCACUCAUUCAUGUUCCAAAAUGCAAGUGUUCAUAAGCACAUUUUUUGGCCAAAUGUUGUAAGGUCAGUUACAUAUGACUGCUGGCCUGAGCGAUAGCAAAAAUGGUGAAUGUACAUUAAUUCCAAUUCUUUUUUUCAUAUAAAUGGUCUCAAAUUGUUAUUCUCAUAGGUUUAGUUCAGCCAACAGUUCUCUGCACUCAGUGGAUUAGCUGGUUUAAAAUGCCUUCAUGCAUGACAAAUUCUGAUCACCAAAACACACUGAAUCUUACUUCUGGAAUUCAUAGUGUUUUCCAUUUUACUCUGCUAAUGUGAAGUGGUACAAAUGUGCCUCAUGAGGUCUUGAGAGAGGACUCAAGACAGCAAGAUGUGUCUAGUUGCAAGUGUCUUAUGACGGCUGAUGGAUCCUUCUGGAGAAACCUUAGUGGUAUAGAGAGACCACUUGUUCUCUUUCUAGUGUUUAAUUUAAUGUGCUGUAUUUCAACAUUGCUACACUCAAAAAAUAUUUCAUAUGUAUAAUAAAAGAACCUUUUGUGUCUGUGACAUGUAUCAAUGUAAGAAUAGUUGACAUGUGCCAGGGUUAUUUUACAACAGUCUGUGGGAAGCAGGGUCAGAUCUGCAUAAUUAGAAUAAAUUUUGAGAAAACUCUGUCUCAAGAGUAAGCUCAGUUUUUAGCUAGGUCCACAAUUCCUGUUGAGACCUCAGGGGACAGGAAGUUUAUCUGACAUUUCCUUCCCUCAAAGAAGUCCUAUAGAGCUCUUUCUAGCAGCCCAUCUCUUUUUUUUCCAAGUCUGGUAGCACCCAGAGUGUUUGAAGACCAGAUGAGAAAGGGUCAUUCAGAUGUAAUACGUUAAUCUAUAAAAUUCGAAAGAUUUCCAUGAGAAGUCUCCAUGAGAGUUCAGGAGAGUUGUCCUGGGUAACAAACCAGGAUACCAGUUUGGUUUAUGUGGAUCUUGGCUGCUGUACCACAGCAGGAGACCACAGCUGACAGAAGCCUGUAAGCUGGUGCUCCAGGAGUUGCCUUGGAAAGGAUUUUGUCACGCUCCAACUUUUCGCUGUUCAGAACAGAUUAAAUUGAAAUGAAAUUCAGGA